rnacentral:rRNA from 1 species
AAGAUAGCAGAAACAGUUGGGAAGCUGUUCCAAAGAGGGUGACAGGCCCGUAUGCGAAAUCUUGUACUCUCUAAUCAGGAUCCUGAGUACGGCCCAGCACGUGAAAUUGGGUCGGAAUCUGGGAGGACCAUCUCCCAAGGCUAAAUACUAACUAGUGACCGAUAGCGAACAAGUACCGUGAGGGAAAGGUGAAAAGAACCCCGGAAGGGGAGUGAAAUAGUUCUUGAAACCGUGUGCUUACAAGAAGUUCGAGGCCGUUAAUGGCUGAGAGCGUGCUUUUUGUAGAAUGAACCGGAGAGUUACGAUUGCGUGCAAGGUUAAGGUGCAAAGACUGGAGCCGUAGCGAAAGCGAGUCUUAAUAGGGCGAAUCAGUACGUAGUUGUAGACCCGAAACCGAGUGACCUAUCCAUGGUCAGGUUGAAGGUGGGGUAAUAC